GGGUGCGAUCAUAAUAGCACUAAUGCAACAGAUCCCAUUAGAAUUAUGUAGUUAAGUGAUCUUGGGCAAGAGUAGUACUAGAAUGCGUAACCUCUUGGGAAGUCCUCGUGUUGCACCUC
rnacentral:rRNA from 1 species